rnacentral:rRNA from 1 species
AACGAACGCUGGCGGCAGGCCUAACACAUGCAAGUCGAGCGGACCCUUCGGGGUUAGCGGCGGACGGGUGAGUAACGCGUGGGAAUAUGCCCUUCUCUACGGAAUAGUCCUGGGAAACUGGGGGUAAUACCGUAUACGCCCUUUAGGGGAAAGAUUUAUCGGGGAAGGAUUAGCCCGCGUUGGAUUAGGUAGUUGGUGGGGUAAUGGCCUACCAAGCCGACGAUCCAUAGCUGGUUUGAGAGGAUGAUCAGCCACACUGGGACUGAGACACGGCCCAGACUCCUACGGGAGGCAGCAGUGGGGAAUCUUAGACAAUGGGGGCAACCCUGAUCUAGCCAUGCCGCGUGAGUGAUGAAGGCCUUAGGGUUGUAAAGCUCUUUCAGCUGGGAAGAUAAUGACGGUACCAGCAGAAGAAGCCCCGGCUAACUCCGUG